rnacentral:tRNA from 1 species
GGAGAGAUGUCCGAGUGGUCGAAGGAGCUCGCCUCGAAAGCGAGUAGGCGUGAAAGCGUCUCGUGGGUUCGAAUCCCACUCUCUCCGCCA